AAGCGGGAAGAGCUCAAAUUUAAAAUCUGGCGUGCCUUUGGUCGUCCGAGUUGUAGUCUGGAGAAGCGUUUUCCGUGCUGGACCGUGUACAAGUCCCUUGGAACAGGGCGUCGUAGAGGGUGAGAAUCCCGUCUUUGACACGGACUACCAGUGCUCUGUGAUGCGCUCUCGAAGAGUCGAGUUGUUUGGGAAUGCAGCUCAAAAUGGGUGGUAAAUUCCAUCUAAAGCUAAAUACAGGCGAGAGACCGAUAGCGAACAAGUACCGUGAGGGAAAGAUGAAAAGCACUUUGGAAAGAGAGUUAAACAGUACGUGAAAUUGCUGAAAGGGAAACGCUUGAAGUCAGUCGCGUCUGCCAGGACUCAGCCUCGCUUCUUGCUUGGUGCACUUUCUGGUUGACGGGCCAGCAUCGAUUUUGACUGUCGGAGAAGGGUGGAGGGAAUGUGGCACCUUCGGGUGUGUUUAUAGCCCUCCUCCGUAUGCGACGGCUGGGAUCGAGGACUGCGGCACGCCUUCAUGGCCGGGGGGUUCGCCCCACGUUUAACCGUGCUUAAGAUGCUGGGCUUUAAUGGCUUUAAGCGACCCGUCUUGAAACACGGACCAAGGAGUCUAACAUGCCUGCGAGUGUUUGGGUGGAAAACCCGAGCGCGUAAUGAAAGUGAUAGUUGAGACCUCUGUCAGGGAGGGCAUCGACGCCCGGACUUGAUCUACGGAGACGGUUCCGCGGUGGAGCAUGUAUGUUGGGACCCGAAAGAUGGUGAACUAUGCCUGAAUAGGGUGAAGCCAGAGGAAACUCUGGUGGAGGCUCGUAGCGAUUCUGACGUGCAAAUCGAUCGUCAAAUUUGGG
rnacentral:rRNA from 1 species